rnacentral:rRNA from 1 species
UAGGGAAUUUUGCGCAAUGGGCGCAAGCCUGACGACGCAACGCCGCGUGGAGGAUGAAGAUCUUCGGGUCGUAAACUCCUGUCGAGUGGGAAGAAUAGUUUCCGGGCGAAUAUCCCGGGAGCCUGACGGUACCACUAAAGGAAGCCCCGGCUAACUCCGUGCCAGCAGCCGCGGUAAUACGGGGGGGGCAAGCGUUGUUCGGAAUUACUGGGCGUAAAGGGCGCGUAGGCGGCGCGGUAAGUCACUUGUGAAAUCUCUGAGCUUAACUCAGAACGGCCAAGUGAUACUGCAGUGCUAGAGUGUAGAAGGGGCAAUCGGAAUUCUUGGUGUAGCGGUGAAAUGCGUAGAUAUCAAGAGGAACACCUGAGGUGAAGACGGGUUGCUGGUCUAACACUGACGCUGAUGCGCGAAAGCCAGGGGAGCAAA